rnacentral:rRNA from 1 species
CUGCUGCCUUCCGUAGGAGUCUGGGCCGUGUCUCAGUCCCAAUGUGGCCGGCCAACCUCUCAGUCCGGCUACUGAUCGUCGCCUUGGUGGGCCGUUGCCCCACCAACUAGCUAAUCAGACGCGAGUCCAUCCCAGAGCGAUAAAUCUUUGGCAGUCAGAGCCAUGCGGCCCAACUGCAUUAUGCGGUAUUAGCAGCUGUUUCCAGCUGUUAUUCCCCACUCCAGGGCAGGUUACU